GACGUAGGGCGCGAGCGUUGUCCGGAUUUAUUGGGCGUAAAGAGCUCGUAGGCGGCUUGUCGCGUCGACUGUGAAAACUUGGGGCUCAACCCCAAGCUUGCAGUCGAUACGGGCAGGCUAGAGUUCGGUAGGGGAGACUGGAAUUCCUGGUGUAGCGGUGAAAUGCGCAGAUAUCAGGAGGAACACCGAUGGCGAAGGCAGGUCUCUGGGCAUUAACUGACGCUGAGGAGCGAAAGCAUGGGGAGCGAACAGG
rnacentral:rRNA from 1 species